rnacentral:rRNA from 1 species
UACGGAGGGGGCUAGCGCUGUUCGGAAUUACUGGGCGUAAAGCGCACGUAGGCGGCUUUGUAAGUUAGAGGUGAAAGCCCGGGGCUCAACUCCGGAAUUGCCUUUAAGACUGCAUCGCUAGAAUUGUGGAGAGGUGAGUGGAAUUCCGAGUGUAGAGGUGAAAUUCGUAGAUAUUCGGAAGAACACCAGUGGCGAAGGCGACUCACUGGACACAUAUUGACGCUGAGGUGCGAAAGCGUGGGGAGCAAACAGG